rnacentral:rRNA from 2 species
GGUUAAGUGAAUAAGGGCGCACGGUGGAUGCCUUGGCACUAGGAGCCGAUGAAGGACGGGACUAACACCGAUAUGCUUUGGGGAGCUGUAAGUAAGCUAUGAUCCAGAGAUUUCCGAAUGGGGGAACCCAAUAUCUUUUAUAGGAUAUUACUUUUCAGUGAAUACAUAGCUGAUUAGAGGUAGACGCAGAGAACUGAAACAUCUUAGUACCUGCAGGAAGAGAAAGAAAAUUCGAUUCCCUGAGUAGCGGCGAGCGAAACGGGAAGAGCCCAAACCAACAAGCUUGCUUGUUGGGGUUGUAGGACUCCAACAUGGUAGUCUGUUAGUAUAGUUGAAGGAUUUGGAAAAUUCCGCUAAAGAGGGUGAAAGCCCCGUAGACGAAAUGCUGACAACACCUAGGAGGAUCCUGAGUACGGCGGAACACGAGAAAUUCCGUCGGAAUCCGCGGGGACCAUCCCGCAAGGCUAAAUACUCCCUAGUGACCGAUAGUGAACCAGUACCGUGAGGGAAAGGUGAAAAGCACCCCGGAAGGGGAGUGAAAUAGAUCCUGAAACCGUGUGCCUACAACAAGUCAAAGCUCGUUAAUGAGUGAUGGCGUGCCUUUUGUAGAAUGAACCGGCGAGUUACGAUUGCAUGCGAGGUUAAGUCGAAGAGACGGAGCCGCAGCGAAAGCGAGUCUGAAUAGGGCGAAUGAGUAUGUAGUCGUAGACCCGAAACCAUGUGAUCUACCCAUGUCCAGGUUGAAGGUGCGGUAAAACGCACUGGAGGACCGAACCCACGUACGUUGAAAAGUGCGGGGAUGAGGUGUGGGUAGCGGAGAAAUUCCAAACGAACUUGGAGAUAGCUGGUUCUCUCCGAAAUAGCUUUAGGGCUAGCCUCGGAAUUGAGAAUGAUGGAGGUAGAGCACUGUUUGGACUAGGGGCCCAUCUCGGGUUACCGAAUUCAGAUAAACUCCGAAUGCCAUUCAUUUAUAUCCGGGAGUCAGACUGCGAGUGAUAAGAUCCGUAGUCGAAAGGGAAACAGCCCAGACCACCAGCUAAGGUCCCAAAAUAUAUGUUAAGUGGAAAAGGAUGUGGGGUUGCACAGACAACUAGGAUGUUGGCUUAGAAGCAGCCACCAUUUAAAGAGUGCGUAAUAGCUCACUAGUCGAGUGACCCUGCGCCGAAAAUGUACCGGGGCUAAACAUAUUACCGAAGCUGUGGACUACACCAUUAGGUGUAGUGGUAGGAGAGCGUUCUAAGGGCGUUGAAGGUCGAUCGUGAGGACGGCUGGAGCGCUUAGAAGUGAGAAUGCCGGUAUGAGUAGCGAAAGACAGGUGAGAAUCCUGUCCACCGUAUGACUAAGGUUUCCUGGGGAAGGCUCGUCCGCCCAGGGUUAGUCGGGACCUAAGCCGAGGCCGAUAGGCGUAGGCGAUGGACAACAGGUUGAUAUUCCUGUACCAGUUGUUUUUGUUUGAGCAAUGGAGGGACGCAGUAGGCUAAGGAAUGCAUGCGAUUGGAAGUGCAUGUCCAAGCAAUGAGUCUUGAGUAGAGUUAAAUGCUUUACUCUCUAAGGACAAGUUGUGACGGGGAGCGAAAUAAUAGUAGCGAAGUUCCUGAUGUCACACUGCCAAGAAAAGCUUCUAGUGAGAAAACAACUGCCCGUACCGUAAACCGACACAGGUAGUCGAGGAGAGUAUCCUAAGGUGAGCGAGCGAACUCUCGUUAAGGAACUCGGCAAAAUGACCCCGUAACUUCGGGAGAAGGGGUGCUGACUUCGGUCAGCCGCAGUGAAUAGGCCCAAGCGACUGUUUAUCAAAAACACAGGUCUCUGCAAAAUCGUAAGAUGAAGUAUAGGGGCUGACGCCUGCCCGGUGCUGGAAGGUUAAGAGGAUGGGUUAGCUUCGGCGAAGCUCAGAAUUGAAGCCCCAGUAAACGGCGGCCGUAACUAUAACGGUCCUAAGGUAGCGAAAUUCCUUGUCGGGUAAGUUCCGACCCGCACGAAAGGCGUAACGAUUUGGGCACUGUCUCAACGAGAGACUCGGUGAAAUUUUAGUACCUGUGAAGAUGCAGGUUACCCGCGACAGGACGGAAAGACCCCAUGGAGCUUUACUGUAGUUUGAUAUUGAGUGUUUGUACCACAUGUACAGGAUAGGUAGGAGCCGAUGAGACCGGAACGCUAGUUUCGGAGGAGGCGCUGGUGGGAUACUACCCUUGUGUUAUGAACCCUCUAACCCGCACCACUAAUCGUGGUGGGAGACAGUGUCAGAUGGGCAGUUUGACUGGGGCGGUCGCCUCCUAAAAGGUAACGGAGGCGCCCAAAGGUUCCCUCAGAAUGGUUGGAAAUCAUUCGAAGAGUGUAAAGGCAGAAGGGAGCUUGACUGCGAGACCUACAAGUCGAGCAGGGACGAAAGUCGGGCUUAGUGAUCCGGUGGUUCCGCAUGGAAGGGCCAUCGCUCAACGGAUAAAAGCUACCCUGGGGAUAACAGGCUUAUCUCCCCCAAGAGUCCACAUCGACGGGGAGGUUUGGCACCUCGAUGUCGGCUCGUCGCAUCCUGGGGCUGUAGUCGGUCCCAAGGGUUGGGCUGUUCGCCCAUUAAAGCGGCACGCGAGCUGGGUUCAGAACGUCGUGAGACAGUUCGGUCCCUAUCCGUCGCGGGCGUUGGAAAUUUGAGAGGAGCUGUCCUUAGUACGAGAGGACCGGGAUGGACUUACCGCUGGUGUACCAGUUGUUCUGCCAAGGGCAUUGCUGGGUAGCUAUGUAGGGAAGGGAUAAACGCUGAAAGCAUCUAAGUGUGAAGCCCACCUCAAGAUGAGAUUUCCCAUUUCUUUAAGAAAGUAAGACCCCUGAGAGAUGAUCAGGUAGAUAGGUUGGAAGUGGAAGGCUAGUGAUAGUUGGAGCGGACCAAUACUAAUCGGUCGAGGACUUAACCAA